UAGGUAGCUUAACCUUCGGGAGGGCGCUUACCACUUUGUGAUUCAUAACUGGGGUGAAGUCGUAACAAGGUAACCGUAGGGGAACCUGCGGUUGGAUCACCUCCUUACCUUAAAGAA
rnacentral:rRNA from 1 species